UUAAAUUGAAGAGUUUGAUCAUGGCUCAGAUUGAACGCUGGCGGCAGGCCUAACACAUGCAAGUCGAACGGUAACAGGAAGCGCUUGCUGCUUCGCUGACGAGUGGCGGACGGGUGAGUAAU
rnacentral:rRNA from 1 species